UACAUGCAGUCGAACGAGUUUUGGUCGAUGAACGGUGCUUGCACUGUGAUUCAACUUAAAACUAGUGGCGGACGGGUGAGUAACACGUGGGUAACCUGCCCUUAAGUGGGGGAUAACAUUUGGAAACAGAUGCUAAUACCGCAUAAAUCCAAGAACCGCAUGGUUCUUGGCUGAAAGAUGGCGCAAGCUAUCGCUUUUGGAUGGACCCGCGGCGUAUUAGCUAGUUGGUGAGGUAACGGCUCACCAAGGCGAUGAUACGUAGCCGAACUGAGAGGUUGAUCGGCCACAUUGGGACUGAGACACGGCCCAAACUCCUACGGGAGGCAGCAGUAGGGAAUCUUCCACAAUGGACGCAAGUCUGAUGGAGCAACGCCGCGUGAGUGAAGAAGGCUUUCGGGUCGUAAAACUCUGUUGUUGGAGAAGAAUGGUCGGCAGAGUAACUGUUGUCGGCGUGACGGUAUCCAACCAGAAAGCCACGGCUAACUACGUGCCAGCAGCCGCGGUAAUACGUAGGUGGCAAGCGUUAUCCGGAUUUAUUGGGCGUAAAGCGAGCGCAGGCGGUUUUUUAAGUCUGAUGUGAAAGCCCUCGGCUUAACCGAGGAAGCGCAUCGGAAACUGGGAAACUUGAGUGCAGAAGAGGACAGUGGAACUCCAUGUGUAGCGGUGAAAUGCGUAGAUAUAUGGAAGAACACCAGUGGCGAAGGCGGCUGUCUGGUCUGUUACUGACGCUGAGGCUCGAAAGCAUGGGUAGCGAACUAGGAUUAGAUACCCUGGUUAUCCAUGCCGUAAACGAUGAAAUGCUAGGUGGUGGGAGGGGUUUCCCGCCCCUUCAGGGCCUCAGCUAACGCAUUAAGCAUUCCGCCUGGGGAGUACGACCGCAAGGUUGAAACUCAAAGGAAUUGACGGGGGCCCGCACAAGCGGUGGAGCAUGUGGUUUAAUUCGAAGCAACGCGAAGAACCUUACCAGGUCUUGACAUCUUUUGAUCACCUGAGAGAUCAGGUUUCCCCUUCGGGGGCAAAAUGACAGGUGGUGCAUGGUUGUCGUCAGCUCGUGUCGUGAGAUGUUGGGUUAAGUCCCGCAACGAGCGCAACCCUUAUGACUAGUUGCCAGCAUUCAGUUGGGCACUCUAGUAAGACUGCCGGUGACAAACCGGAGGAAGGUGGGGAUGACGUCAAAUCAUCAUGCCCCUUAUGACCUGGGCUACACACGUGCUACAAUGGAUGGUACAACGAGUUGCGAGACCGCGAGGUCAAGCUAAUCUCUUAAAGCCAUUCUCAGUUCGGACUGUAGGCUGCAACUCGCCUACACGAAGUCGGAAUCGCUAGUAAUCGCGGAUCAGCACGCCGCGGUGAAUACGUUCCCGGGCCUUGUACACACCGCCCGUCACACCAUGAGAGUUUGUAACACCCGAAGCCGGUGGGGUAACCCUUUUAGGGAGCGAGCCGUCUAAGGUGGGACAAAUGAUUAGGGGAAGUCGAACAAGAG
rnacentral:rRNA from 2 species